AGAGAUUUGCUUUAGAAGUCUCCGAUGAUUAUAUCAAGAAGGCAUUAGGUAAAAGAUGGAGAGACAAUAAAAGCACUUUAAAGAAACAAUAUUUUAAGAAAGACAUAAGCCUCGAGGAAAAACUGAGAAAUGUUCCGCCAGGAAUGCUGAGGUAUCAAUGGGAAGAUGCGGUUAGAUUUUGGAAUUCAAAGAAAGGAGAGGACCGUGAGCGAGUUGGAACAAGUAGCAGGCAAAAACAAAAAUUCACGCACACGGCAGGGUCGAGAAGUUUUGCUUCUGUAGCUGAGGCCGAGGAAGUCAAAUCCGGACAAAA